UCUUUCCGAUGAAUGGGUCUCGGGUCUGAGACUUCCCUAGGCACCUCGCUGUGUUUUUCAGGUAUAUUAAGAAAAGAGACGUCAUCGUGCUGAUAAAUGGCAUGGACCAGAAGCGGCUCCGUGGCGGCCUCUGGGAACCGGGUCCUGUGAGGACCUUUGGUGUAGGUCCUUCAUACAUGGAAACGAGAUGGACCUGAGUCCUCCCCGCGCAGCAGAAAUCCAUCUGGAGAUGAAAGAACAUCUACCUGACUCUCUGGCAGACUAUCAAGGCAUACCCUGGGCUGACUCUGGGGCCAUGAUCUCACCUGAUCCCGCCCUGGGGAGGGCAGGACUAGGAGAUUUUGCCUUCCAAGAAUGGUGAAGAUACGGAAACCAUGAGGAAAUUGGCUCAAAAUCCUUGAGGCAGAAAAUGAGAGUUGCUGAGAGUCGAGAGAAGAGGGAGCCGAGGUUGCAGGUUCACCUGAGACUGAUGCGGAGGUCACAGUGGAGUAGCAUGGCUGCUUCCUGCAUCCUGAGCCACAGAAGGACUACUGAGGAGCACCGUGGGAAGUCUGGUUCUCAGCUUCUGUGUCUUCCUCUAGGUUUGCUCUCAAGUGAUGCUGACUGGCUCCAAGAAAAAGAAGGAAAGCCCCAAAUCGUGGGUCUGGUAUCUCCAGGGAUGUGGCUGUAAUCUUCAUGGCGUCCGGAUGGAAGAGGCUGAGCUCUGAGAUGAUGGAGCCAAAUGAAGAAGUGAUGCUGGAGCGUGGCAGGAAUCUGCUCUCCUCGGGUGAGGCUGUUCUUUCCUUUCCCUCAUUAAUUCGGUAGAGAUGUUCUGACCACCACCACGUACCAGGAGAUGUUCUGAACACCUAGGAUGAAAUAGCAAACCCUGUCCCCUAAAUGGGCUUGCUUUCUAGUAUAAGAGGACAGACAACAAACAAAAGCUUCAUGUGCUGGCAUAUUGUAGUAUGAUAUGUUACACAGUGAUAACUGCCUCAUAGUGAAAAAAAUAGAUAAAACAGGAUAAAGGGGUAUGGGGUAUAAUGGAGCAACUAGCUGAAUGUUGCAAUGGGGUGUUUGAAGUCAGUGUGGAAGUAACACUUGCUCAAAGACAGAAUGUGGUGAGAGACUUAGCGCUCUGGGUAUCAGCAAGUAGGCGAGUAGGAGACGGCUCAGCUGCAGGAACGGAGCAAUGCCCAAGUCCAAGGAGCUUGUUCCUUCAUCUGGCAGUGAUGCUGACAGUGAAGAUGACAACGAGUUAAAGAGGAAAAAGCACGUUGCUCCAGAAAAACCUGUGAAGACGCAAAAGAUGUCCGGAGCUCUGUCAUUUUCCAAACAGAGCGGCGGCAGCAGAGAGGAGAGCAUGUUUCAGAUAGGGAAAGUUUUAGUUCUGUGUGCUGCCAAAGCGAGCGCCAGACAGGGAAAGUGAGGUCCAUUGGUGUUCAGGGCUUCAAAGGGAAAGUUCUAGCUGAUAUUCCAGAAUACUGGGUGGACCCAGAAGGUGAGAUGAAGGCAGGAAGAAAUGGCGUUUCUUUAAAGCCAAAGCUGUGGAGCCAGCUGAAGGAACAGGUUUCUAACACUGACGCUGCGAUGAGAAAACUGUAACAUCCAAGCCGUGUAAUGCCCAUAACGUGCUAGUUGUCUUAAUCUGUCUUUUUACAUUGGCUUUUGUUUUCUGAACAUUGUUUUCCAAGCUAUUGUUUAUCGGCAUUGUAGAAAAAUUUGUAAGGUGAAUACUGUAAUGUGCAUUAUUAAAAAUGUUCAGAGUGAA